rnacentral:rRNA from 1 species
AUUGAACGCUGGCGGCAGGCCUAACACAUGCAAGUCGAGCGAGUGGCGGACGGGUGAGUAAUGUAUGGGGAACUGCCUGAUAGAGGGGGAUAACUACUGGAAACGGUAGCUAAUACCGCAUACUAUCGGAUGUACCCAUAUGGGAUUAGCUAGGAGGUGGGGUAAAGGCUCACCUAGGCGACGGUCACUAGCUGGUCUGAGAGGAUGACCAGCAGUAGUGGAACUGAGACACGGCCCAGACGCCUAUGGGAGGCAGCAGUGGGGAAUAUUGCACAAUGGGCGCAAGCCUGAUGCAGCCAUGCCGCGUGUAUGAAGAAGGCCUUAGGUUUGUAAAGUACUUUCAGCGGGGAGGCGUUACCCGCAGAAGAAGCACCGGCUAACUCCGUGCCAGCAGCCGCGGUAAUAC